AGAGAAAAUAUAAUUUUAUAAAAUAUUUUAAAAAGGAACCGACAAACUGAAAUUAUUAACUUUAAUUGUCGUUUCUUUGAUUUCAGAGCAACGCAAGUUUAUUUAAUUUAUAGUUUGAAGUUCCAAAUAAACAUACGUAGUACUUUGUCUUAUAAAACGACAACUCUAGUUAAUAUCAAUAGAAAUGGAGAAAUUACGAUUUAAAUUUGAGGUAAUGGGAUCAUCAGAUGGAAAGUCAAAUAUAAUUUGUAUAACCUCAAUCGAAACACCGGACGAACGUAUUUUCGAAAUCCCAGACGACCUAAAACCUGCAAGUAAGCAUACCAGCAUAGUAUCUUCAGACGUUUAUACGAAAAUUAGAAAUUCUCUA